rnacentral:rRNA from 1 species
UACGUAGGUGGCAAGCGUUGUCCGGAAUCAUUGGGCGUAAAGAGCGUGUAGGCGGCCCGAUAAGUCCGCUGUGAAAGUCCAGGGCUCAACCCUGGAAUGCCGGUGGAUACUGUCGGGCUCGAAUCCGGAAGAGGUGAGUGGAAUUCCUGGUGUAGCGGUGAAAUGCGCAGAUAUCAGGAGGAACACCAAUGGCGAAGGCAGCUCACUGGGACGGUAUUGACGCUGAGACGCGAAAGCGUGGGGAUCAAACAGG